GAUGUAGGUGGCUUUGUAAGUCAGGCGUGAAAGCCUGGGGCUCAACCCCAGAAGUGCAUUUGAUACUGCGAAGCUUGAGUGUCGGAGAGGUUACUAGAAUUGUUGGUGUAGUGGUGAAAUACGUAGAUAUCAACAGGAAUACCGGAGGCGAAGGCGGGUAACUGGCCGAACACUGACACUGAGAUCCGAAAGCGUGGGGAUCAAACA
rnacentral:rRNA from 1 species